GAUGAACGCUGGCGGCGUGCCUAAUACAUGCAAGUCGAGCGAACGGACGAGAAGCUUGCUUUUCUGAUGUUAGCGGCGGACGGGUGAGUAACACGUGGAUAACCUACCUAUAAGACUGGGAUAACUUCGGGAAACCGGAGCUAAUACCGGAUAAUAUUUUGAACCGCAUGGUUCAAAAGUGAAAGACGGUCUUGCUGUCACUUAUAGAUGGAUCCGCGCUGCAUUAGCUAGUUGGUAAUGUAACGGCUUACCAAGGCAACGAUGCAUAGCCGACCUGAGAGGGUGAUCGGCCACACUGGAACUGAGACACGGUCCAGACUCCUACGGGAGGCAGCAGUAGGGAAUCUUCCGCAAUGGGCGAAAGCCUGACGGAGCAACGCCGCGUGAGUGAUGAAGGUCUUCGGAUCGUAAAACUCUGUUAUUAGGGAAGAACAUAUGUGUAAGUAACUGUGCACAUCUUGACGGUACCUAAUCAGAAAGCCACGGCUAACUACGUG
rnacentral:rRNA from 1 species